CGGGUUGGAGGCUUGGGCCUUGGAGUAGCAGAUUGGUGGCCACGACAGCAGAUCACAGAUGGGCUUUUGGCAGUAGCAGAUGGGCGGAUGCAUAGCAGCAAAUCGUAAGGACUGGCCAGAUGCAGUACGACAACAGCAGAUUACGGGGACUGGCCGGACUCGCGCACGACAGCAGUAGAUUGCAGGAGGGAGAGAGUGUUUUCUUGCUUCUUGAGGGUGAGUUGGGUGUAAUGAGGAUUGAGGGGGGUGGUGAGUCUUGUGUUUGUGUAACUUUGUGAAUCUGUGAUUUGUGUGUGUGGU
rnacentral:lncRNA from 1 species